rnacentral:rRNA from 1 species
GAGGAAAGCGGGCGGCGUGCCUAAUACAUGCAAGUCGAGCGAACAGACGAGGAGCUUGCUCCUCUGACGUUAGCGGCGGACGGGUGAGUAACACGUGGAUAACCUACCUAUAAGACUGGGAUAACUUCGGGAAACCGGAGCUAAUACCGGAUAAUAUAUUGAACCGCAUGGUUCAAUAGUGAAAGACGGUUUUGCUGUCACUUAUAGAUGGAUCCGCGCCGCAUUAGCUAGUUGGUAAGGUAACGGCUUACCAAGGCGACGAUGCGUAGCCGACCUGAGAGGGUGAUCGGCCACACUGGAACUGAGACACGGUCCAGACUCCUACGGGAGGCAGCAGUAGGGAAUCUUCCGCAAUGGGCGAAAGCCUGACGGAGCAACGCCGCGUGAGUGAUGAAGGUCUUCGGAUCGUAAAACUCUGUUAUUAGGGAAGAACAAAUGUGUAAGUAACUAUGCACGUCUUGACGGUACCUAAUCAGAAAGCCACGGCUAACUACGUG